GACGAACGCUGGCGGCGUGCUUAACACAUGCAAGUCGAACGGAAAGGCCAUGCUUUUGUGGGGUGCUCGAGUGGCGAACGGGUGAGUAACACGUGAGUAACCUGCCCUUGUCUUUGGGAUAACUUCAGGAAACUGGGGCUAAUACCGGAUAGGAGCUCCUGCUGCAUGGGGUGGGUUGGAAAGUUUCGGCGGUUGGGGAUGGACUCGCGGCUUAUCAGCUUGUUGGUGGGGUAGUGGCUUACAAAGGCUUUGACGGGUAGCCGGCAUGAGAGGGUGACCGGCCACAUUGGGACUGAGAUACGGCCCAGACUCCUACGGGAGGCAGCAGUGGGGAAUAUUGCACAAUGGGCGGAAGCCUGAUGCAGCAACGCCGCGUGCGGGAUGACGGCCUUCGGGUUGUAAACCGCUUUCGCCUGUGACGAAGCGUGAGUGACGGUAAUGGGUAAAGAAGCACCGGCUAACUACGUG
rnacentral:rRNA from 1 species